GAAAACUCGUUUUUGCAGACGCCUUCACCCACCGGUGUUGCUUCCUCCAAUCACCCACGCGCGUAUGGCAAUCACCCACGCGCGUAUGGCAAGUUGGCAACCUGCCGGUGUUUCUGUAUAAUCGUAUGGCAGUGAGUCCGUAUUUUCGUUGGGCCCACCCACGUGCGUUUGUCUCCCAUCUCCUUCCUCCUAUCUCCAGCACCGCAUUUGAGAAAUCGGAGAGGCAGCGAUGUCCCCGCCUCCCCGGCGGUAAGGUUCUGCGCCGCCACCGCUCGUCCGUGCGCAGCUGCCACCGCCUUCGUCCGUGCUCCUUGGCACCUGACUCCACCAUGCCGAAAUCGCUGCCGCGCGACUCCGUGCAGCUCUUCCUCGCCGUCGCCAACAUGGACGUGGCCUAACGCCUCAAGCUCAGGUUCGGCGGCUACCACGCGCUCGACGCGGAUACCCGAAGCACAGCGCGCUAGUCCUCUACCGGGAUGCCUCUGAGCUCGUGACCCGUGUGUAUGACUGGGUGAGAGCGACCUCAGCGCCGCCGAGACCCUCCUGAUUGCACCUGUCCUGGGCGAGGACGACGACACCCACGACCGCCACUACUCUUCCUGGGUUCAGAUCUUGCUAUUAGCCUUUCGAUGGUGCUGUUUUCCUUCAGAUCGAUUUGAUUCAGAGGCCUGCACCAAUUUCAUCGAGCUUGCAAGGUCAGCACCAAGAUUCUCAGGCCACAGGCCUGGCGGCAUCCUCGACAGAAACCGCGGCCCGCCAAGGCCCGCGCCUUCAACCAGCCCGAUGGCAUCGGCGCCGUCCCGCCAGAGACGCUCGCGCCUGCAAUCAGCCUGAUGGCAUACUCCAGGGAUCGCUUGGCCAAAGCGAAGGCCGCCGCGUCUUCCGCGGGCUCGUUUCCGGAUGAGGCGAGUUGUGUCAAGAGAAGUCUUGUCGUGUGGGAACGAAAAGAAAAGAAGAAUCUAACAGCCCUACAGCUCGAGGCCAUGGUCGAAACCAGCGGAUCUUGCCGAGCAUGGAGUGGGCGCGCCGGUAGCAGGGCCGGCCGCGGGGAUGGGAUACGCGGCGGAGGCGAAUCAAGGCUAAGCCAUCGGGCCGACGGCCUCGGCGUUUUUUUCUCGAAACGUUUUCUUUUUUACUUAGCGGUGGCAAGGAUUGUAAUUUUGAUAUAUUCCAGGGGCAAUUUCAGUGACG